CAUUUGCAUGUUUUUCGAUCUGCGAUUGAUACUGCCUUGUUGUUUGAGGUUAUGUUACGUUAUAUUUGCUUUUCUCGCGCCCAUUUUAGUCAUUUUCAUUCGUUUAUUCUAAUCGUUUUCUUAAAAAUUACAAGAAAAAUGUCCGUUUUCAAACGAGUUAGCAAAAGUUAUCGGUACAGACAAGUAAAAAAAAGUGUAGAAGAUACGCUAGACUUGACUCAGAGAGAAAUAGAAUUAAAUAAUAAAGCAGUGAAAGCAUCAUCGUCAGUCUCAUCGUCAUCACAUCUUUCCGAAAAAGUUCCUGUUAGUGAAAAUCAAGAUGGAAAUGAAUUUACACGAAAUUUUGUUGUGUCUGAGAUUUUGACAAAGGGAACUAGCCCUAACCACUGUCCUAACAUUAAAAUAGUGAGUUCGUCAUCAACAGAAUCGGAUGAUUCGGAUGCAGAAGUAUCUGAUGAUAACUCCAAACAAACGUCAGAAUCUUUUUUAAUUGAUUGGUAUUUUAAACAUAAUGUUACACAAGCUGCCUUAACUGAUUUACUAAAAUGGCUUGCCUUAAAUCCCAAUAUAUCCAAUUUGCCUAAAGAUGCCAGAACACUAUUAAAAACCCCACGAAAUGUUACAUUAACUACAAUGGGUAGUGGACAAUUUUAUAAUUUUGGGUUAGAGAACGAGAUUGUAAGAAUUAUUAAAAAAUAUGAUGAAAGAUAUAAUAGUAGAAAUUGAUUUUAAUAUUGAUAGACUUCCGCUACACAAGUCUACAAAAUCUUGCUUUUGGCCAAUUUUAGGUAAAAUAAAUAAUUUUAAAAAUGAACCCCCUUUUGUAGUUGCAAUUUUCUGUGGUGACAGUAAACCACCUUUGGAGCAGUUUCUAAAAGAUUUUGUUACUGAGCUUAUGAAGUGCUCACACGAUGGCAUUUACCUGGAAGAUGAAGGCAUUUAUCUAAAAAUAAAAGUUCGACCUUUUUGCUGCGAUGCACCAGCUCCAGCAUUUAUUAAAAAUGUAAAGGGUCAUAACGGUUUUUACGGUUGUGAUAGAUGUUGCGUUAAAGGAGACUAUAGCAACAGAAGAAUGAGAUAUUUAGAUCUUAAUGCCCGAUCAGAAGUGAUGAAAUGUUUGCAACAAAAGAAAAUUCUGAACAUCACAAAGGAGACACGCCACUGUCAUUGCUAAAUAUAGGGCUUGUUACUUCAUUCCCAAUAGAUUAUAUGCAUUGCGUUUGUUUGGGGGUAAAGAGAAAAUUAAUUUUUGAAUGGCGUGAUGGAAAACAACAUAUAAAAAAUACACAAAAAGCUAUCUUAGAUGAAAGAAUGAAUUUAGCAAGAAGCUAUUGGCCAAGAGAAAUGUUGAGUCGAAAGUCAAGAUCGAUUUCAAAAGCCGAAUUGUGGAAAGCAACAGAAUUUCGGCAGUUCUUAUUAUAUAUUGGCCCUGUGGUACUGAAAGAUGUUUUACCAAAAUAUAUGUACUGUAAUUUUAUGCUAUUAAAAUUUGCUGUGUCAAUACUUCUUAGUCCAUCUUUAAAUAAGGAGUUCAAUGAAUAUGCUCACAAUUUAUUAAAAGUAUUUGUACGAAAUUCGAUUGAGAUAUACGGACAAGAUUUUUGUGUUUAUAAUACUCAUGCAUUAAUACAUUUAGCCGAUGAUGCAAAAAUGUUUGGUGAUUUAAACAGUAUAAAUUGUUUUCCUUUUGAAAAUCAUUUAGGAUACCUUAAAAGAAGGUUAAAAAAGCCCAACUUAUCUCUGCAACAAAUAGUGCACAGAUUAAGUGAGAAAUCUGUUAGGAAAUGCGUGCAAAGUGAAUCCAAUAUUGGAUUGGUUUUUGUUAGUGGAAAAUCUAUUUCAUCAUUUUUUGAUGUAAAUGUAACUAUUCAACCCGAAGAUAAAUUUUAUAAAAGUUUGUUUUAUAAAGAGUACACUUUGACGACAAGAAAAUCUGACUCAUGUGUAUUUCUAAAAGAUAAUACGAUUCUCAAGAUAUAUUACAUUCGCAAGCGACAUGAUUAUAUUGAAAUUAUUGGAAAAUCUUUGUCGAUCAUUAAACCUUUUACGAAUUACCCCACUGACAGUUCAUUUUUACAUAUGUAUGAAGUUUGUCUUGAUGAAGAUGCUCCGUUUUUAUACCAUGCCGUUAAUCAGAUUUUGUAUAAAACUCUUUUAAUUCCAUUAGAUCAAAAUUUUGUUUGUAUUCCAUUUUUGCAUUUAAUAUAAUGUGAAAAUGUGUUAAGAUCAAUUUUAUCAAUUUUUAAAUCUUAUUUCCAUCUAAAAAUUAUGUUUUUGAGUAGCAUUACAUAAUUAUAAAUAUGGUAAGAAAUUUAUCUUUGAAAGUAACUUACCUACUGAUAUUUAUUAUUUUCAAUCUUUUAGGCACAAAUAUUACGUUGUUGUCGAGUUUGCAGACGAAACUGAAGAAGGUGUUACCCCGGAAGCAAUUAUAUCAUCAACAUGGAUUAUGAAUCCAACGGAAAAUCCCGUUUAUUGUUUAUGGCCAGGAUACUUCAAAUCCGAAUGUGAUAGGAUUAAGGCCACCAUAAAUCAUACUAGAUUAAUAGUCGAAAAGUGUGGCCAGUGUAGAGCAAAUAUUUUAUAUACAACAGAUAAUUAUCAAAAAGCUGUUAAAAAACUCGACCAUUUAGAAACGCAGUCUUUUGUUUCACAAACAGAAGAUGAAAUUGAGAACGACGUCGUCACUUCGCAAAGAACGAAAAGGAUCAAACGGCCUAAUAAAAUUUACGAAGACUACGAAAAUAUAAAUUAUGAUUCAGAUGACGAUUUAAUAGCGAAGCCACCUCCAGUAAAAAAAAAUUAGUGUCUUCAGGUAAAACCACAGAGGCGAAAAUGAAAAUUUCCGUAUAGUAGACAGAUCUGAUGAAAUUAGUUUGGCAAGCACACUAACACUUGUACCCAGUUGUGGUUCUAGUAGUGCUGGUACUAUUACUAGAACUACUUCUCCACGUGAUUGUAAUCAAUGCAAACAAA